rnacentral:rRNA from 1 species
GACGAACGCUGGCGGCGUGCUUAACACAUGCAAGUCGAACGGAAAGGCCCUGCUUUUGUGGGGUGCUCGAGUGGCGAACGGGUGAGUAACACGUGAGUAACCUGCCCUUGACUUUGGGAUAACUUCAGGAAACUGGGGCUAAUACCGGAUAGGAGCUCCUGCUGCAUGGUGGGGGUUGGAAAGUUUCGGCGGUUGGGGAUGGACUCGCGGCUUAUCAGCGUGUUGGUGGGGUAGUGGCUUACCAAGGCUUUUACGGGUAGCCGGGCUGGGAGGGUGACCGGCCAAAUUGGGGGUGGGAUAAGGCCCCGACCGCUAAGGGGGGCAAGAGGGGGGGAAAUUGGCAAAUGGGGGGAAGCCCGAAGGAGGCACGGCGGGGGGGGGAAGGAGGCCUUCGGGUUGUAAAAAGCCUUCCCCCGGGAAGAAGCGUUGAGGAAGGUAAUGGGUAAAGAAGCCCCGGCUAACCCAGGG